rnacentral:rRNA from 1 species
GAUGAACGCUGGCGGCGUGCCUAAUACAUGCAAGUCGAGCGAACAGACGAGGAGCUUGCUCCUCUGACGUUAGCGGCGGACGGGUGAGUAACACGUGGAUAACCUACCUAUAAGACUGGGAUAACUUCGGGAAACCGGAGCUAAUACCGGAUAACAUGUUGAACCGCACGGUUCAACAGUGAAAGACGGUCUUGCUGUCGCUUAUAGAUGGAUCCGCGCCGCAUUAGCUAGUUGGUAAGGUAACGGCUUACCAAGGCAACGAUGCGUAGCCGACCUGAGAGGGUGAUCGGCCACACUGGAACUGGGACACGGUCCAGACUCCUACGGGAGGCAGCAGUAGGGAAUCUUCCGCAAUGGGCGAAAGCCUGACGGAGCAACGCCGCGUGAGUGAAGAAGGUCUUCGGAUCGUAAAACUCUGUUAUUAGGGAAGAACAAAUGUGUAAGUAACUAUGCACGUCUUGACGGUACCUAAUCAGAAAGCCACGGCUAACUACGUG